UACGUAGGGCGCAAGCGUUGUCCGGAAUUAUUGGGCGUAAAGAGCUCGUAGGCGGCCUGUUACGUCUGCUGUGAAAUCCCGGGGCUUAACCCCGGGCGUGCAGUGGAUACGGGCAGGCUGGAGGCAGGCAGGGGAGAACGGAAUUCCCGGUGUAGCGGUAGAAAUGCGCAGAUAUCGGGAGGAACACCGGUGGCGAAGGCGGUUCUCUGGGCCUGUACUGACGCUGAGGAGCGAAAGCGUGGGGAGCGAACAGG
rnacentral:rRNA from 1 species